GCGGGCGUGGCGGAAUGGUAGACGCAAGCGACUUAAAAUCGCUCGAGCCUUGCUCGUGCGGGUUCAAGUCCCGCCGCCCGCACCA
rnacentral:tRNA from 1 species